CGGCGCACGCGUCCGCGCCCAAUACGCCGGCGCAGGCGGAGGCAGCCGGCGCGCUGCUCCGGAGGUCCAUGUCGGGAGUAAAGUCCUCGAAGCGCUGUCUAUGGAAAUGAUUGCAAGUGACAGGGUGAUAGAGGAUGCAACUUGGCGCUCAUCACUUUCUACCGUGUGCCCAAAAACGAUGUGCUGAUGCCUGCUGUUUCUGUUUGGUACUAUGAAUGGUGACUAAUCAAUCAGUGAAUGAGGCCAUGGUUAACUUGCCUCGACGUUGACGGUCUUUGUAAUUCAGACGUUGUUGAUUCUCUGUUCCUUCCUGUUGUUGACGGUCUCAACCAAUGUAUCAGUUGUUGGGGAACAGACUCGCCUUUCAAACACUGCAAGAAUCAGAAUCCUCGAAAAGCUACUACUGUUUGCAAGUGAAACGAUUUCAUGCAGGCCGGCGGGCCGUCGUACGCGGUGGAGCUGGGGCGGUUGGACAGGCUGAGCUCGACGGCGAGCAGCGUCCCCGGCAAGCUGGCGCCGCCGACGUCCAUCCUCGACCAGCUCACGGCGCUCUUCGCCACCAACGGGCUCUCGCACACCGACAUGAUCGCCCUCUCCGGUACGUAUGUAUAAUUAUGCAUUGCUUCGAUGAUGUACGUAUGGGCUCUGUGUGCGUUUGCUUUGCUUGCACAUCGAAAUCGAGUUAGGAUUCGCCGCCGUCGAGGUCUGUCAGGAGUAUGACCCGAGGGAGAUUUGCAUGUUGAUGCAACCAUUGAUGCGGCAGGAGUAUGACCCGAGGUCUGGCUCCGUCUGCUUGGACAUCAUUAACCAGACGUGGAGCCCAAUGUUUGGGUGUUCUGAAGUUAAAACCAAACGCAAUGGAAACUGAUGAACGGCCCAUUGAUCCUUCUUGUCCAUGUAUGGUCUGCAAAAACUAUACACGUGCAUACUUGCAUUGUCUUGUCACGAAAGAUCAUAUGGGCUCUCAACUGCUGUCAUAUCACAAUUUAUCGUUUAUGAUGCAGUUAAGUAGAGAUCUCCACAUGUCGAUUCUUGAAGGACGAUUUCCAGAAUUCGUGAGAGGAUUCUUGAGGGUGCAGUUUCCGAAGGGCGACGUGCCAAAGUGGGUUCACAAUGCAAUGGAGGUUGCCGGCAUUGACAUAUCGGAGUGCUGCACCCCGACCAACUGUCAGCAUGACGCAAUGGAGGCCGCUGGCGUCGACAUAGCGGAGUUUUGCCCGCCGACCAAGUGCCCGUGACGCGGAACGCUCGGGGGAAUUCAUUACAUAUACCAUGGUACCGGUUGACGAUAGGAAGGGUUGCCGCGUGGAAGUGAUCCUUCAUACUUAACAUGACGCUUUUUCACGAGGUUUUGCUUUAGAUUGGGUUUCAGGUAAACAGGGAAAAGGUAUGCAGCUGCCAAUGAAGUGAAGAAAGCAGUCAAGACCUUUGAUGUGAUCCAGAGGUUUAAAGUGGAAGCGGACCAAACUGUAUUUUAUUCCCUUCUUCGUGCUCUUUGCAGAAGUAAAAACAUAGAAGAUGCUGAGGAGUUGCUUCUUGCAAGAAGAAAUUUUUUCCCACUCACAACAGAAGGUUUCAAUAUAGUACUUGAUGGUUGGUGUAACAUAUUCACCGAUCUGGCCGAAGUAAAGAGAAUUUGGAGAGAAAUGUCAAAUUGCUGCAUUACUCCUGAUGGUACGUCUUAUGCUCUCAUGGUCUGUUGUUUCUCUAAGGUAGGGAACCUUUUUGAUACUUUGAGGGUUUACGAUGAGAUGAAGAAGAGGGGUUGGAGUCCUCGUAUUGAUGUCUAUAACUAACUUAUUUAUGUUCUGACAAGAGAGAAUUGCGUGAAGGAUGCAAAAAAUGUUCUCAGUAAAAUGGUAGAUGAAGGUUUCCAACCGGAUGUUGAAACAGACAAAAGUAUUAUAGUUCCACUUUGUGAAAGUUGCAAGCUUGAGGAAGCACGGAAGAUAAUGGAAGACAUGAAAAUGAAGGGCAUUGUUCCAACCAUUUCGACGUACCAUGCAUUUUUGAAACAGGAAGGCAUUGACGAAACACUCCAGCUACCGAAGAAAAUGAAAGAAGAUGGUUGUGGCCCUAACAGUGACACAUUUCUCAUGCUCAUUGAUAAGUUUAUCCAACUGAAUGAGUCUGGAAAUGCUCUGAGGGUGUGGACUGAAAUGCGAAGAUACGACAUUAGGCCUGGUUAUGCACACUACAUGGCAGUGGUCCAAGGUUUGGUUAAAAUGGAUGUAUACCACGAGCUUUGGAGUAUUAUGAUGAAGUGAAGGCAAAUGGUUUUGCUUCUGACCCGAUACUUGAAAAGGAAUUCAAAAAAAUUCUAUUGGCCAACAGAGACCAUUGGCGAGGAGUAGGCAGAUACAAUCUUAUUCCACAUCGUACCAAACAUUUUACAAGCAGGACAAGAAUUCCGUAACACAAGUGUCACUGUUAAGGGGCUUCUUUGUACGACAGAAGUAAAUGUGAACAAAUGUGAUUGUGAG